GAUGAACGCUGGCGGCGUGCCUAAUACAUGCAAGUCGAGCGAACAGACGAGGAGCUUGCUCCUCUGACGUUAGCGGCGGACGGGUGAGUAACACGUGGAUACCCUACCUAUAAGACUGGGAUAACUUCGGGAAACCGGAGCUAAUACCGGAUAAUAUAUUGAACCGCAUGGUUCAAUAGUGAAAGACGGUUUUGCUGUCACUUAUAGAUGGAUCCGCGCCGCAUUAGCUAGUUGGUAAGGUAACGGCUUACCAAGGCGACGAUGCGUAGCCGACCUGAGAGGGUGAUGGGCCCAACGUGAACUUAGAUCCGGUCCAGGUUCCUACGGGAGGCAGCAGUAGGGAAUUUUCCUAAUUGGGCGAAGGCCUAACGGAGCAACGCCGGGUGAGUAAUGAGGUUGUUCGGAUCGAAAGACUCUGUGCUUGUGGAAGAACAGAGGUGUAAGUAACUAUGCACAUUUUGACGGUACCUAAUCAGAAAGCGACGGCUAACUACGUG
rnacentral:rRNA from 1 species